rnacentral:misc_RNA from 1 species
GUUGGUGAACCAGCGGAGGGAUCAUUACAGAGUUGCAAAACUCCCACCAUUGUGUACCUACCUCACUGUUGCUUCGGCGGGUAGCCUGUAUUCCAGGCUGCGUCAGUCUCCUCUCCAGGAGCCGGCAGCCCGUCAGAAGCCUGAAACUCUUUAUAUUAUAGGCCUCUCUGAGUAACUUAUACAAUAAGUUAAAACUUUCAACAACGGAUCUCUUGGUUCUG